UGGUGGUAGCCGGUGGCGAGCGCGGCGGCGGCCUUCUCGGGGCGGCCGACGGUGCCGAUCAGCCGGCCGCCGCCGA
rnacentral:tRNA from 1 species